rnacentral:rRNA from 1 species
UCCCAGACUCCUACGGGAGGCAGCAGUGGGGAAUAUUGCGCAAUGGGGGAAACCCUGACGCAGCAACGCCGCGUGCGGGAUGAAGGCUUUCGGGUUGUAAACCGCUUUCAGCAGGGAAGAUAAUGACGGUACCUGACUAAGAAGCCCCGGCUAACUACGUGCCAGCAGCCGCGGUAAUACGUAGGGGGCAAGCGUUAUCCGGAUUUACUGGGUGUAAAGGGAGCGUAGACGGCGAUGCAAGCCAGAUGUGAAAGCCCGGGGCUCAACCCCGGGACUGCAUUUGGAACUGUGUGGCUGGAGUGUCGGAGAGGCAAGUGGAAUUCCUAGUGUAGCGGUGAAAUGCGUAGAUAUUAGGAGGAACACCAGUGGCGAAGGCGGCUUGCUGGACGAUGACUGACGUUGAGGCUCGAAAGCGUGGGGAGCGAACAGGAUUAGAUACCCCAGUA